GUUUGCUGUAAGAAGAAAUACUUUGAUUUUGAUCGUGAGAUCCUCCCCUUCACUUCUGAGAAUUGGGACAGUUUGCUCCUGGGGGAGCUUUCAGACACCCCCAAAGGAGAACGUUCUUCCAGGCUCCUCUCUGCUCUUAACAGCCACAAGGACCGUUUCAUUUCAGGGAGAGAGAUUAAGAAGAGGAAAUGUUUGUUUGGUCUCCAUGCUCGGAUGCCUCCCCCUGUGGAGCCCCCUACUGGAGAUGGAGCACUCACCAGGGCCCUGGGGGAGGGGUCUCACGUCCCCUGGGGAAGCGCCGGAGGCCGGAGCCAGAGCCCCUGAGGAGGAGGCAGAAGGGGAAAGUGGAGGAGCUGGGGCCACCCUCAGCAGUGCGCAAUCAGCCCGAGCCCCAGGAGCAGAGGGAGCGGGCUCAUCUGCAGAGGGCACUGCAGGCCUCAGUGUCUCCACCAUCCCCCAGCCCUAACCAGAGUUACCAGGGCAGCAGCGGCUACAACUUCCGGCCCACAGAUGCCCGCUGCCUGCCCAGCCCCAUCCGGAUGUUUGCUUCCUUCCACCCUUCUGCCAGCACCGCAGGGACCUCUGGGGACAGUGGACCCCCAGACAGGUCACCCCUGGAACUUCACAUUGGUUUCCCCACAGACAUCCCUAAAAGUGCCCCCCACUCGAUGACUGCCUCAUCUUCCUCAGUUUCAUCCCCAUCCCCAGGUCUUCCUAGACGCUCAGCACCCCCUUCUCCCCUGUGCCGUAGUUUGUCUCCUGGGACUGGGGGAGGAGUCCGAGGUGGGGUUGGUUACCUGUCCCGAGGGGACCCUGUCCGGGUCCUUGCUCGGAGAGUACGGCCUGAUGGCUCUGUGCAGUACCUGGUUGAGUGGGGAGGAGGGGGCAUCUUCUGAACAGCCUGCCUCUGCCCAGCUCCCCAUUCACACACACCGGCACUUUCAUACCCUGACCUCUGACCUCACCUACAGCUGGGAUGUACCUGGAGAGAUAGGGGGUAGUUCUCCCUACUGCCCAGGCUGGAAUCCAAGAGUGGGGAGUGGGGAAGAGGCCCUCUUCUCUACCCUCCUUCAUGAUUCCUGACCCCUCCCAUCCUUCCCAUUUCCUUUGAUGUUAUUUUGUUACAGCUUUUUAAAUAUUUUUUAAAAUUAUUUAACCCCUGGGGGCAGAGACUGAGGAGGGAGGAUGAUAAGGGAUCCCGGACUCUGUAUGAUUGAAAUAAAGAGAAAUAAAC
rnacentral:lncRNA from 1 species